rnacentral:rRNA from 1 species
GUCUACGGCCAUGCCACCUUGAACAAGCCCUAUCCCAUCUGAUCUCGGAAGCCAACCAGAGUCGGGCCUGGUUAGUGCUUGGAAUGGGAGACCACGUAGGAAGACCAGGUGCUGUAGGCG